rnacentral:rRNA from 1 species
GAUGAACGCUGGCGGCGUGCCUAACACAUGCAAGUCGAACGAAGCACAUACGACGGAACUCUUCGGAGGGAAGAUGUAUGUGACUGAGUGGCGGACGGGUGAGUAACGCGUGGGUAACCUGCCCUAUACGAGGGGGACAACAGUUGGAAACGACUGCUAAUACCGCAUAAGCGCACAGUACCGCAUGGUACAGAGACGAAAAACUCCGGUGGUACAGGAUCGGACCCGCGUCUGAUUAGUUAGUUGGCGGUGUAACGGACCACCAAGACGACGAUCAGUAGCCGGCUUGAGAGAGUGAACGGCCACAUUGGGACUGAGACACGGCCCAAACUCCUACGGGAGGCAGCAGGUGGGGAAUAUUGCACAAUGGGGGAAACCCUGAUGCAGCAACGCCGCGUGAGUGAAGAAGUAUUUCGGUAUGUAAAGCUCUAUCAGCAGGGAAGAAAAUGACGGUACCUGACUAAGAAGCCCCGGCUAACUACGUG